UGGUAAGAUAGUUUAGAGUUGAUAAAAUCCUUAUUUUACACGUAAGGGAGGGAGUUUUCCUAUUGCCAU
rnacentral:tRNA from 1 species